rnacentral:rRNA from 1 species
CCUACGGGGAGCUGCAGUGGGGGAUAUUGCACAAUGGGGGAAACCCUGAUGCAGCGACGCCGCGUGAGUGAAGAAGUAUUUCGGUAUGUAAAGCUCUAUCAGCAGGGAAGAAAAUGACAGUACCUGACCAAGAAGCCCCGGCUAACUACGUGCCAGCAGCCGCGGUAAUACGUAGGGGGCAAGCGUUAUCCGGAUUUACUGGGUGUAAAGGGAGCGUAGACGGUUAUGUAAGUGUGGAGUGAAAGCACGGGGCCCAACCCCGGGACUGCUUUGGAAACUGGGUAACUGGAGUCCAGGAGGGGCAGGCGGAAUGCCUGGUGUAGCGGUGAAAUGCGUAGAUAUCAGGAGGAACACCGGCGGCGAAGGCGGCAUGCUGGACUGAAACUGACGUUGAGGCUCGAAAGCGUGGGGAGCAAACAGGAUUAGAUACCCCUGUAGUC